rnacentral:rRNA from 1 species
AACGUAGGACACAAGCGUUAUCCGGAGUUACUGGGCGUAAAGGGCGUGUAGGCGGACGUGUAAGUCUAUUCUGAAAGCUCCUGGCUAAACUGGGAGAGGCGAAUGGAGACUGCAUAUCUAGAGUGAGGAAGAGGAAAGUGGAAUUCCGCGUGUAGUGGUGAAAUGCGUAGAUAUCGUAAGGAAGACCAGUGGCGAAGGCGGGUCUCUGGACAGUUCCUGACGCUGAGGCACGAAGGCUAGGGGAGCAAACGGG